CCCCAUUAGCAUCUCUUCUCCCUUUCUCUCUCUCUCUCUUUCUCUCUCUCUACACACACACACACACACACACACAGAGAGAGAGAGAGAGAGAGAGAGAGAGAGAGAGAGAGAGAGAGAGAGAGAUUGG
rnacentral:miRNA from 1 species